UAUAAGAAUCCCAAGCUUGUAUUCGUUGUUAUUGUAUCAGUAUAAUCAGUAAACAGUAACAAAUCAACAUGAGAGUUUGUAUCAUACUUCUGGUGAUUGCCACUUUAGCAAUAAGUGCUAUGGGCGAGUGUCCCCCAGGAGAAUACAACCCAGGGCCGGACUGCAGCUUUGAGAUUAUCUGCACCCCGCAGCACUCAGCACACUACCGUCCCGAACACUACUGCGAUUGCUGGUGCAACCCUGGCACCGUCAGGGAUGUUGUCACCAAGAAAUGUGUGAAAGAGUGUGCUUACCAUAAAGUAUAAUUUUCAUAGUU